ACUGUGAAUCUCGUUAUAAGAAAAGGGUCUGAAAGCCCAUGGACAUCCAAGAGAAUUAUGCCUAAUAAAUGGCAAUGGCAAAGGAAAUUUCCUGUGCUCACCUGAGGAGACCAUCCAGAUCAGACGCACGGAAGACUGAAUAUGAGCCCAAUGAAGGUUGCACAGGACUUGGGCUUGACGUGACCAUAAACCAAAGUGAAAAAUGAAGUGAAGGAACAUCCGGAUGAAAAAGAAUUAAACAAAACAACAUUUACAGCAAGGAAAUAACGUAAUAAAAUAAUAUCAGCCACCA
rnacentral:lncRNA from 1 species